rnacentral:rRNA from 1 species
GCCAGCAGCUCUAUCACCCUGCAACUCCCAGCUGGCAGCCCACUAAGGCAGCUGUGAGCCUGGCCAGUACCUGGAUGGGAGACCUCCUGGGAAAGCUAAGGCUGCUGCUGGAA